AGAACUGUGUGUGGUCUAUGACAGGUGAGGUCGCCCAGGCAGGCGUGCAGACACCUGACAUUGGCCGCGAGGGCUGUGUG